ACCAUCGCACUGCAUUCUCACAGGAUAACGAUUAAUGCUGAAGGUUUUGACCAACUAUUCGGAGGAAGGGCUAUUAGCAUUUGUAUCAUCACUUUUGAAAUAUUCCUCCUCCCCAUAUUCAUCAUAUUCUGCUCCUGGCUGAGAUAACGCUUGUAAAGCAAGCUCAUAGAGUGGUGGAUGUAGCCUAGUUGCUUCACUUGUUCCUUUACUUAGACUUGAUUCGGCUUCUGUUCUUUUGGGAGCCAUAUCUAAAAUUAACAGGAACAUAAAUAAAUAUUUUAUAGUUGAUUAAUGCAUCGUUAAAAAUGGACAACAGUAAAUCUAAUAAGCAAAAAAAAACAUAACAGUUCCAACAGAUCACUUAUCUGUUGCACCAGGUAGUAUAUCUGUUGCAGCAUAUAACAAAUCUAUUGUAGAAGAUGAGCAAUCUAUUGCAACAAUGCAAAAUGUAUCACUCAUCUUUUAAGAUAGAUGAGUGGUCUGUACAAUAGAUCACAGAUUAUUGCAACAUAAGUGAUCUGCUGGAAUAGUUAAAUAAUCUAUUACAACGGAUGAGUAAUCUAUUGCAAUAAUACAAAACACAUCACUCAUCUAUUGAGAAAAAAUAAAUGGUCUAUACAGAAGACCACACAUCUAUUGCAACAUUAUCUGUUACAAUAUAUGAGUAAUCUAUUAGAACUGUUAAAUAACCUGUAGCAAUGGUCUAUGCAGUAGAUCACACAUCCAUUGCAACAUCAUCUGUUGUAAUAUAUAAGUGAUUUAUUGGAACAGUUAAAGAACCUGUAGCAACGGCUGAGUAAUCUGUUGAGACAAUACAAAACAUAUCAUUCAUCUGUUGAGAAAGAUGAAUGGUCUGUACAACGGAUCACACAUUUGUUGCAAUAUAUGAGUGAUCUGUUGGAAUAGUUAACUAACCUGUAGCAACCGCUGAGUAAUCUAUUGCGAUAAUAUAAAAUAUAUCACUCAUCCAUUGAGAAAGAUGAAUGGUCUGUGCAACAGAUCACAUAUCUGUUACAACACAUGAGUGAUCUGUUAGAACAAUUAUUAACAGUUAAUAUUGUUUAGAUUUCUUCUAACAUUGGAUCGUCUAUCACGGCAGAUGAAUGAUCAUUUAGAAAAAUCAUGUCUUGGACAUGUCCUGUUGGAAAAGUUGAUAGGAUUUUAUCCAACAGGAGGUUUAUCUAUUGCAUCAGAUCAUUAAUUCGAUGCUUCUUCCGUUGCAUCAGAUGGUUAAUCAGCUGAAUCAGAUUUUUUAUCCGAUGCUUAAUCUAUUGCAACAUAUGGUUAAUCUGUUGCAUUAGAUACAUAAACUGUUGCAUCAUCUGACAAAUAUGUUGCAUCAGAUGGUUAAUAUGUUGCACCAGAUGCAUAAUUUAUUGGAUAAAACCAAAAAUAGUAACACGUUUUCUUCAACAAAAAAAUAAUAAUUUUUACCAAGAACAAGAACACAACAAAUCAACUCAAAUCAUUGUUUUGUUUUUAUAAACACAAACAACAAAAAUCAAACUUCAAAAAAAUGCAACAAAUAACAAAAAAUCAUAAUUCACUUUGAAAAGAGAAGAGAAGAAAUACCAGAAAUUAGGAUUUUAUUGAGACCGCAUUUCAAAGUAAAGCAACAAAUAUUGAAAUUGUUAACCAAUACUAUAAGAGAAGUUGACUCAAGUUCCUCGUUUUCUUCAAACUAAAAAGACCAUAAAUUUUUACCUGUGAAAGAAGAAAAGGAACGAUGAUGAAUUCAAAGUUGUUGUGGCCGAAGAGCAAGGCUGUCAUAUCGAUUGAUGGUUGAAGAAUUCAAAGCUGUUGUGGCCGGAGAGCAAGGUUGUCAUGUCGAUUGAAGGUUGAAGUCGAAAAGGAACUCGAAGCCCAACUAUUUAUCGUCGGAUGUUGAAGUCAUGAGGAUUGAAAGGAGAAAUUUACAAAACUGUUGGUUGGGAGAGAGUUGAGAGAAGCUGUCGAGAGAGAGGAGAGAGACUGGUUGAUUUGGAUUGAAGAGGGGUGUGGGUUGGGUUGAUUUGUAUUUUUAAAAAGAUUAGAAAGUUUUAAAAAUAUUAAUCAAGUCCACAAUUAACUUAAUCAAGUUUUCUAAUGAUGUUUGACCCUUUAAGUUGGUCAAUGUCACCAAACCUUCAUUCAAGACUUAAAAGACACCUUUCCUUCAAUUUUCUCAACAAGCUUUGUAUAAACACAUUUAUCUACACAUGCAAAAUCACUACUUAAUGAAACAUGAUCAAAUUUCUCAUUUCAUUGAUUAUGAACUUGUUCAGACCAUUUAAAGACUUAAUCAAUUUACAAGGCUUAAUCAAUUUACAAAUUUUAUUUUUAUGACCUGCUACUACACAACCUUCAAGUUGCUCCAUAUAAAUUUUCUCCUCCAAAUUAUCAUUUAAAAGUAUAGUUUUAACAUUCAUUUGGUGAAUAAACAAUUUAUGAGGGAAUGUCAAUGCAAAAUUUUGUUACUAGAAUAUAAGUAUUAAAACAAUUAAUAUUUUAUUUUUGAGUAAAACAUUUAGCAGUCAAUCUAUCUUUUUAUUUAUGAAUAAAAUCAUCAAGAUAAUAUUUCUUUCUAAAAAUUCAUUUACAACCAAUGAAUUUAAUUUUUGGAGGUAAAUCAACUAAUUCUCAAGUAUUAUUUUGUAAGAUGAAAUUUAUUUCAAAUUUAAUAGCUUCUUUCUAAUGAGGUGCGUGAGGAGAAAAAAUUGCUUCAGAAAAAAAUUAAAAGAAUCAUUAUCAACAAUAUAAUAUAAGUAUAAAGAUCAUUAUCAUUUUUUUUUAUAUCCUUGAUGUUUUAAUUCUACUUAAUUCCUCACUUUUCGAAAUAUUUUUAAAACUAAAAAUACUUUAUUUUUCAAAAGUAUGAGCAUGAGAAAUAUUAUCACGUUUUGAAAAAAAAUAUAUAUUCUAAGAAAAAUUAAUAUUUUUUGUUUCAACUAUAGUAUCUUGUUCAAGCAUAUCACUAUUGAGCACAAAAAACUUAUAUGCAGCACUAUUAUCAGUUUAACUAAUAUACAUAUAAGUAGUAGUCUUGGACCUAAUUUUUCUUUUCUGAGGGUCUGGUAAUGUGACUUUGGCAAGGCACCCGCACACUUUCAAUAUUUUAACUUAGGGGAUAACCUUUUCACAAUUCAUAAGGAGGUUUUCUAACUUUCUUGUAAGGAGUUCUAUUUUGUAAAUGACAAGGAGAUAAAAUAGCUUCAUUCAAAGAAUUAUCAUAUGCACAAAAACCAGCAAACAUACAUUUAUCAUUUUUUUUAAAGUCCUAUUUUUUCUUUCGGCUACUUCAUUCAGUUCAGGUGAGUACAAAGGAAUAACAUAGUGAAUAAUACCUUUUUUUUACAAAAGUCAUUCAACAAAAUAUAUUCGCAACGUCGAUCAGAUCUUCUUCUUUUGAUCUUACUAUUCAAUUGAUUUUCUACUUCUGUUUUGUAUAAUAAAAACAUAUGAAAUGCUUCAUCUUUAUUUCUCAAUAAAUAUAUUUUGGUAUAUCUAGAAAAAUCAUCAAAAAAUGUGAUAUAGUCAUAGUUUGCUUCAAGUCUCCCAAAUCAGUAUGCACUAAAUUUAAUAAAUUAAAUUCUCUAAAAAUAGAAGCAUGAGACUUUUUAAAUUGUUUAGCUUCAACACAAAUUUCACGCAAUGACAGAAAAAUUAACAUUAAAAAGAAGACCUUGAGAAUACAUUUUCUAGAUAAACUAACAUGUCCAAGUCUAGCAUGCCAUAAGUCAAAAGUAUCAAUCAAAUAGGCAGAAAUACUAGUAUUUUCAUUCAUAACAUCUAGUACAAAUAAACCACGACUACAAUAACUUUUGCCAACAAAAAUAUUAUUUUUUGUUUAAAAACUUUGUUGAACACAAAUAAAAUCUUCACCGGCUUUUUCUAAUAAAUCCACAAAGAUCAAAUUGGCUCAAAUAUUAGGAACAUGUAACACUUCAGUUAAAGCCAAAAAAAAAAUAAAAAAAAAUUAGAAGUGAGUUUAAAGAGAACUUUUCUUUUUUCAAGGACUUUAGUUGUUUUGAAUCACCAAGAUAUGCAAGUUUUUCUCCUUUAUUGAUUUACGCUUAAGAAACAAAAUUAUGUUUAUUGACACAAAUAUGCCUAGUAGCAUCCGAAUCUAUCAUUCAAUCACUCACACAAGCCACAAUAUUCACUUGAAAAAUGACCUCCACAACAAUAUCUGUUUUACUCAAAUUAAUUUUUGGCUCAUCAAGAUUGUCAAUUUUUUCAACUCUUUUCUUGAAGGCUUUAUUAAAGAUUUCGGACUUGUAAUCAUGUUCAUAUUCAUCAAAAAAAAGUAGAGAUGAUAGUAUAAUUACAUACCCUAGAAGCAUAAUUUUAAAGGUUGAGUAAUUUGACGAAGAACAAGAAUGAAA
rnacentral:lncRNA from 1 species